rnacentral:rRNA from 1 species
AAUAGAUACCCCGGUAGUCCACCCCGUAAACGUUGGGAACUAGUUGUGGGGUCCAUUCCACGGAUUCCGUGACGCAGCUAACGCAUUAAGUUCCCCGCCUGGGGAGUACGGCCGCAAGGCUAAAACUCAAAGGAAUUGACGGGGACCCGCACAAGCGGCGGAGCAUGCGGAUUAAUUCGAUGCAACGCGAAGAACCUUACCAAGGCUUGACAUAUACGAGAACGGGCCAGAAAUGGUCAACUCUUUGGACACUCGUAAACAGGUGGUGCAUGGUUGUCGUCAGCUCGUGUCGUGAGAUGUUGGGUUAAGUCCCGCAACGAGCGCAACCCUCGUUCUAUGUUGCCAGCACGUAAUGGUGGGAACUCAUGGGAUACUGCCGGGGUCAACUCGGAGGAAGGUGGGGAUGACGUCAAAUCAUCAUGCCCCUUAUGUCUUGGGCUUCACGCAUGCUACAAUGGUCCGGUACAAAGGGCUGCAAUACCGCGAGGUGGAGCGAAUCCCGAAAAACGCCGGUCCAGUUCGGAUUGAGGUCUGCAACUCGACCUCAUG